UACGAAGGGGGGCUAGCGUUGUUCGGAUUUACUGGGCGUAAAAGCGCACUAGGCGGUUUUAUCAAGUUUGGGGAGUGAAAUCCUGAGGCUUAACCUCAGAACUGCUUCCAAAAACUGAUAAACUAGAGAACGAUAGAGGAUGGUGGAAUUCCUAGUGUAGAGGUGAAAUUCUUAGAUAUUAGGAGGAACACCGGUGGCGAAGGCGGCCAUCUGGGUCGUUUUCUGACGCUGAGGAGCGA
rnacentral:rRNA from 1 species